rnacentral:lncRNA from 1 species
CAUUGGUAGGUUAAGUGCAAAUGUAAGAAGACCAGCAAGGAGAUUCUGCAGAGCACACCACGGGAAUCCUGAGAGGAAACCACUGGAAGAACCGUGGAUGUCCAAGAUGUGCUGCUAACUGUGACGAGGGUCCCAAAGAGGAGCAGGAUCAGGAAGAAAAAAGGCUGCCUGGCUCCUGGGUUGUGUCUCAAGUUAAUAAUGUCUCUACCUUGGACUGAAAUUGGGCUGUUGCUGCCUGUCGUGUGAAUUAG